rnacentral:rRNA from 1 species
CCUACGGGAGGCAGCAGUGAGGAAUAUUGGUCAAUGGGCGAAAGCCUGAACCAGCAACGCCGCGUGAGGGAUGAAGGCCUUCGGGUUGUAAACCUCUUUUCUGGGAGAAGAGACAAGGACGGUAUCCCAGGAAUAAGUCUCGGCUAACUACGUGCCAGCAGCCGCGGUAAU